UGUACUCAUUCAAAAGGAUAAAAUGAAUGGCAAGAAGAGUUGAUUGACUAGUUGGCUGCUGGCACAUGAUAUAUUUUGGUCAGAAGAAAGGCUUGACAUAGAUUGUUCAGCAAUCAAUUUCCAGGAGCAACGACAGAGUGAAUAAUGCAAUUUUUGAAAGCAUAAGCCAAUGAAAGGAAAGAACUAUGCCUCGAUUAGAUAAAGGACCAUUGAUUACAGGGUUUUUUUCAUCCCCUUUUGUUUUGGGGAUGCAAGGAGCUUAAAACCAACUACCAAUAGGACGAUCCUACAGCCCUAUUGUCUAGAAAGAAGAGUUUAAAGAAACAAUCUUGGAAUACUAGACUACAAAGAUAACAAUAAUAAAAAUAUCUCCAGAUGUUAUAUUACCAAUUUCCCAAAAAUUUUCACUUGAUUGAAUUUUCAGGAAUAUGUAAGAUCUGGACCAGCUUGAAAACAAUGCUGUAAAGCAAAAAACUAAAAGCGUUUGAACAUUAAUGGCCUAAAAAUCACCAGACAGCCUUUAAGCAUUAACCCUGAAGACAAAGGAAGCCACAUGAUGGCUCUGAUA
rnacentral:lncRNA from 1 species